rnacentral:rRNA from 1 species
UACGUGGGGUCCGAGCGUUGUCCGGCAUUCUUGGGCGUAAAGGGCUCGUAGGCGGUUUGUCACGUCGGGAGUGAAAACUCAGGGCUCAACCCUGAGCGUGCUUCCGAUACGGGCAGACUAGAGGUAUGCAGGGGAGAACGGAAUUCCUGGUGUAGCGGUGGAAUGCGCAGAUAUCAGGAGGAACACCGGUGGCGAAGGCGGUUCUCUGGGCAUUACCUGACGCUGAGGAGCGAAAGCAUGGGGAGCGAACAGG